CUUUACUGUAGCUUGGAAUUGAAUUUGGGUAUACUUUGCGCAGUAUAGGUGGGAGGAAAGAUAAUAUAUUUGCGGAUAUAUAGGAGCCACCAGUGAGAUACCACUCUAAGUAUACUAGAAUUCUAACUUUGAAUGCCGUUAACCGGCCAAAGAACAGUUUCAGGUGGGCAGUUUGACUGGGGCGGUCGCCUCCUAAAAAGUAACGGAGGCGUACAAAGGUUUCUUCAGGCUGGUCGGAAAUCAGUCUUAGAGUAUAAAGGCAUAAAGAAGCUUGACUGCAAGACCUACAAGUCGAGCAGAGACGAAAGUCGGUCUUAGUGAUCCGACAGUUCUGAGUGGAAAGGCUGUCGCUCAACGGAUAAAAGUUA
rnacentral:rRNA from 1 species